CGGAGGGUGCGAGCGUUGUCCGGAAUCACUGGGCGUAAAGGGCGCGUAGGUGGCCUGUGGAAGUCUGCGGUGAAAGCCCGGCGCUCAACGCCGGGUCGGCCGUGGAUACUCUCGGGCUCGAGCUUACUAGAGGCAGAUGGAAUUCCGGGUGUAGCGGUGGAAUGCGUAGAGAUCCGGAAGAACACCGGUGGCGAAGGCGGUCUGCUGGGGUAAUGCUGACACUGAUGCGCGACAGCGUGGGGAGCAAACAGGAUUAGAUACCCUGGUAGUCCACGCCGUAAACGAUGGGCACUAGAUGCUUGGGGGAGCGACCCCCUGAGUGUCGUCGCUAACGCAUUAAGUGCCCCGCCUGGGGAGUACGGCCGCAAGGCUG
rnacentral:rRNA from 1 species